CAGUAACGUGGUAAGUGGCGUAGCACUGCACGUGUUGCGGUGCCGGCGGCGGUGAGCCCAGCAGCAGCAGCAGCAGCAGCAGCAGCAGCAGCAGCAGCGAGCGGGGGCCGGGGAUGAGUCACCGUUCCUCAGCACUUAAGUUCUGCUGUGUGAGUGGUACUGCUGUCUCUGUGUCGAGUCAUCGUGCUGCAGCUUUAUAGCAGAUCCCGGCAGCCGCCUCACACUCUGCUGCUCGUCCGCUCAGCGAGGAGGUGUAACCGCAUCAUCUGCAGGGACAUGAGCACCACCGACAGCGCCGCGGCCAUGACUCUGCUGGGCAAAGCCCACACUCUCAGCCUGCACACCGGCAACCUGAUGAACUGGGGUCGCCUGAAGAAGCGGUGCCCUGUCUCCCCCAGUGAGGAGUUGGGUGAUUGCAUCAGGACUACUCUAAAUGAAUGGAGCUUGAAGAUUAGCCCAGAGCUUAUACAGGAAUCUCCACGUACCCUGGAAUGUGCUGUAACCCAGGCCAUGGAAACCAUAAACCCUGAAGAAAGAGAGGAAAUGAAAGUGUCUGUAAAACUGUUUAUUGUGAGUUCUGGUCUUUCAUCCAUCAGACAUGCUGUAGAUAUGGCAUGUUCCACUCUGGAUGUUGCCCAAUUAGAUUCUGUGAUCAUUGCACCACCCCCUCUGGAAGAUGGAGUCAUUCUCACCUUGGAGCAUUUACAGCCUUACUGGAGGGAGCUGGAACGUCUUGUCCAGGACAAUAAAGUUGUUGCAAUAGGAACGUCUGAUUUAGAUAAACCGCUCUUGGAACAGCUUUACCUCUGGGCACAGAUCAAGCCAAAUAGUAACCAGGUGAAUCUUGCAUCAUGCUGCAUAAUGCCUCCAGAUCUAACCGCUUUUGCAAAGCAGUUUGAUAUUCAGUUAUUAACACACAGUGAUUCGAAAGAAAUUCUGUCUGAAGAAAGUUUUCAAGAAGCUCUGAGGGAAGGUGUCCAGGGAACUCAAGUGGAUGGAUGGUCACCAGAGUGGAUUCUGCGAUACUCUGUCAUUGUUAAAACACGAGGAAUCAUAAAAUCGAAAGGCUACAUUGUGCAGGCUAAGAGGAAAGCUCCCCAUUAACGCCCCAGGACUUCUCCACAAACCGCAGACCUGUUUUAUCAGACCCACACAGUUGACUUUGUGAAUGAGACGAGAUACUCUGAAGACUAAUUUACUGAGACUCUCGAUACCUGUGGCUAGAUCAAUGUUUACAAACUGGAGUCUGUGCGUGGAUGAAACCGAAAUAGAGAUAGCAAUAACCAGUGCUUGUCUAAGGGACCACCGUGUUGCUGUUUAGAUCAAUAGGUGCCUCUGUUUAAAUUGCUGUUUAAAAGUUUUUAAGAAAUGCAGUUUCUUCCUUGUUCUGGGUGUGCAUGUUGCUUGUAACAUCUUACGUGACGUGCUAAGUGGAGGAUGCAGUUAAUAUCCUGGCUGUCGAGGGGACUUGCUGCCAGCAUUCCGACAGACUGGAUGCUGUCUGCUGGGAUAGCGUAUGUAUUUCCUAAGUGGUUACCUAACAAAUGUGUUAUGGUAGCUUUAAAUGAUGAUACCGGGAAUUUGAAAAGACGGUUCACUAUAUCUUCACUACAGAGUGGGUUGUAACGUUAACGUCUGCCUGAAAUUUUUCAAAAAUAAAACAAAUACAAUAGAGAUUACGAAAGGAGUAGGGCGGUAAUCCUAUAAAAAGAUCUUCUAAACACAAUUUUUAAACAAACCUUUAGGCAUUCAUUACUAUACCAUGCACAUAUAGUAGCCCCCAGUCGCACCAUCAGAGGGCGGAAACUUUCUAGUGCUUCUUGGAGUCUUCGUGGUCGUACAAUCCAGCCCUUGGUUGUAAGGGUUCAGUCAAAUGGUUCAGAGGAAACAAUUUCUACAUUUUAUAGAUACUGUUCAAUACCGCUUUCAUAUACAAUGGUUAGUCAGGAUUUAUUGUAUUGUACUUGUCUAUUCAGACCUUAAUCUUAUGACUAGGACUGGGAAAUGAAGAUAUGUCUUCCACUUACUGUUCAUCUUGAUGGCUUAAAAUUGAUGGUUUUCAUUUUAUUUACAUUACAGCCUUUACUUGGUGGCAUUUAAUAAUUGUUAGUCACUGCUGUGUGGUUCCAAAGCCAGCUUCAUGCCAAAGACCUGUGUGUGUGUGUGUGUGUGUGUGUGUGUGUGUACACCUCUUCCAUCAUUUUGAGAAUGAAUCCUGUUUGGUAAUCCUGGGCUUGGUGUAGGCAGGAUCUUGUCUUGCCCUCUGUGUGUCUUUAUUUUUCAAAUAACAUAUUCUGUGUUCUCAUAACAAUUCCAUGAGUGUUGGUAUAUACUGUGUGUAUGUAUGGGAUAUGGUAUAGUAGGUCACCAUUUAUAAUAACAUAUUCAAAUUAAGCAUAUAGACACUGCUAGAAUGUCAACAAACAGUCUGAUGGUCUAGCAGUGUGUUACCUGGUCCUGUGCAGUGAUGUGACGAGUGGCAUUUUGGUGCGUACCUCCCCUCCUCCAUCCCUAACUAUUCCACUAUGACCAAUCAUCAUCUCCACCCCCUAUCCCUGUAGCCUCUAACCUCCCCUAAGUACCUAACCAGGGUCUGGUUUGUAAUACCGGCGGUCAGGAGGCCGACGGCAGAAUCCCUGCGGCGAGUGCAGCGAGUCCCCUGUGGGCUCACUGCGCUUCGGGGCCGAUGGCGAGCUUUGUUUGCCACACUAUUAUAUUCCCUCUCGGGUGGUGGUGUGGACCAUCACUCGAGUGGGAACUCAGGGCUUUGGUUGGGAUUCCGCUGGCUGUCGGGAUUCCAGGAUUGGUCUGCUGACCGCUGGGAUCCCGACAGCCGGUGAAUUAACUGCACCCCCCUAAUCCCUCCGUCCCACAACCUAAAGCUAAUGUUGACAUUCAAAGAAUAUAGUGUUUUCAGAUGUUGACGUGUGUGUGUGUGUGUGUGUGUGUAUGUAGGAGCGUAGCUAGAACCUUGUAGGCAAUAUAGCAACAUUUUUGAGGGGCCCCCUGUUCCAGUACAGAGAGACGCUUCUCUGCAGCAAGUAUUUAAUGUUAUUCCCCAUAAUAGAGCCCUAGUUUAUUUUAUGAACCAUAGUAGUGCCCUACUUCAAGUUGUCACAUUGUAAGGAGGCCAAUACAGUACCCCAUAUUUACAUUCUGAAUUACAGAGCCCCAGUUCAUAUUAUGCCACAUUACAGAGCCCCCAGUUCAUAUUGUCACUAUUACAGUGCCCUAGUUCAUCUUAUGUAUCAUUAUAAUGCCAUACAGUUAAUUUUCAUCAAGUUACAAUAAGCAAGUCUAGGGAUGUAACUAGAUAUAUUGUAGGCCACAAGGCAAAUGUUUGUAUGUAUUGCCCAAUGAUGAAAAAAUUAUAUAACAUGUAACUUUGAAGGUAGGCACCUCUCAGCUCUGGGCCCAUAGCAACUGCACUCCCUGCACCUAUUGCAGCAACACGUGUGUGUGUGUGUGUGUGUGUGUGUGUGUGUGUGUGUGUGUGAUUUUUUUUUUUUUGGUGCUCCUCUCCAUUCUCACUAUGGAACUACAUAAUGAAAACUAAAGUUUGUUCUCUGACAACCACAGGGUAUGCCAAUCAAGCUGUAUUAUUAACCGUACAUGACCCGUACAAAAAAAAAAUCGCUCUAAAAAAGCUUUGCUUUAAACCUCGUUUUAUUAAAUGUUCUUUUGGCAGUAGCAAAGUCCAGAAAAUGAACUGCUGUAAUCUGGGAAUCAGAGCUGACUUGAUACGUGUGCGUGGCUGUUGCAUGCAGAGAUUGGAACUCACAUUUCAGACUGAGAAUAAUCUAUUUAGGAGAGAUUUACUUGACAAGGGCGAAUUUAGCCUCUAAAGACAGAACCAUGAUGUCAUAUAAUUGCAUAGAACUAUCCUUGAACGUAAUGACUAAGGACUAGUAUACCCAAAUUAUUCCUGCACCAAUUCUCUGCUGUCUUUUCUGGUUGGUGAAUGCAUCUGAACUUGCACUUCAAGUAGAGUUUACUGAACCUUAUGAAGAAAUGCCAUCCGUACACACGAGCAUUCAGUGUGAACUUUGGACACUUUUUUUUUUUUCAGUGCGUUACUGUAAUCCAUCCAGAAUUUAAUCUGAACACGUGUACUCACUCUCAAUAAGGUCCUGCGAGUCUUAUUUAAAAUGCCAUUAAAGUUAUCUGGGAGUACACUGGCGCAGACAGAGUGUUCAUACCUUUUUAAUUGCACAUGAUUUUGAGGUGAAUCACUCAGUGUAAUUACACACUUGCUGGUGCAGGCCUAUCUGCAGAACCGAUGCCUCAUAAUUACCCAGGCAUCCACAAACUGUCAUGUUGACUAGAUGAUAAACUAUACAAUCUUUGUUAGUAUAUAGUGUGUGGUUAGAAUUGCUUGGGAAUUAUCCUUUCUGAAAGUAAUGUUUUCAGUAUUUGUUCUGUAACUUUUUGCAUAUUUUCUGUUUAAAAAAUUGUAUGCUUGCCCUAGGAUGUGUGGAUAGUGCAAAUACAAUACAAUGCCAAGGCUAUCACAGGGUGUAAACUUAAAUAUUUGUAAAUGUUCUGUAUAUGUUUUCAAUGGUAGAUUAACUUUCAGGAUUUGUGGCCCUUUUUUAAAAUAACAUGAUGGUCUUAGGAGUAAGCAGUUGGACAUAGAAGGAUAAAAAAUCAACCAAGACAGCAUUGCUAAAUUGCUGGUGACAUUGUCUAUUGUAGUUUUUUUUUUUUUUUUUUUCCUUUUUAUGCAGUUAUAAAUUUUAUACUUUUUUUUUUUUUUUUUUUUUUUUUUUUUGUCUAUCACCUCUGUGCAGUUAUAUGUUCCAUAUAGAUCACUGAGUAUUGUGUAUGUAGACUAGAUAUACCGAAUUCUGUUAUCGCACUCAUUGCUUGUUUUAUUUUUUAUAUUUGUGGUAGGAACGUUGUAAUUCCUUUUCCUUUGCUUCCUGUUACCUGGAAUAAAUGAACGCUGGAACGUA